UGGGAGUGGGUUGCAAAAGAAGUAGGUAGCUUAACCUUCGGGAGGGCGCUUACCACUUUGUGAUUCAUGACUGGGGUGAAGUCGUAACAAGGUAACCGUAGGGGAACCUGCGGUUGGAUCACCUCCUUA
rnacentral:rRNA from 3 species